rnacentral:snRNA from 1 species
UUAUACUUCAGAGAUGGAUAUACUAAAAUUGGAACAAUACAGAGAAGAUAAGCAUGGCCCCUGCACAAGGAAAUUUGAGAACCCUCAUCUGGACUU